UACGGGGGGGCAAGCGUUGUUCGGAAUUACUGGGCGUAAAGGGCUCGUAGGCGGCCAACUAAGUCGGAUGUGAAAUCCCCAGGCUUAACCUGGGAACUGCAUCCGAUACUGGAUGGCUUGAAUCCGGGAGAGGGAUGCAGAAUUCCAGGUGUAGCGGUGAAAUGCGUAGAUAUCUGGAGGAACACCGGUGGCGAAGGCGGGUCUCUGGGCCGAAACUGACGCUGAGGAGCGAAAGCGUGGGGAGCGAACAGG
rnacentral:rRNA from 1 species